UGGGUUCCGAGCGCCAUUUUGGCCCCUGCGGCCGGUCCUCGGGGCACCGUGGCCGCCCGUCCUAUCCUGCCGACCUUCCCUCGCGGGCCGUGCGCCCGGAGCCCACGCGGCGCCGCCUGGCGGGGUCUUGGCGGGACCGGCGGACUCUGAAUAAACUGAAAGCCAUUGAACUGUACAUUUUACGUUGUGCAAAUGUGGAGUUAGCCUCUAUCCAAACAUCAGACCUUGAUUUCGGUGCACUUCUUCGUGUCCUGCUGGGCUUGCUGUGGGCAUCCUUCCAAGGGUCUGCACCCAACACCUACCCGUUCAGGCUGUGAUGGCCCGGUGUCUUCAGCAGAGCUGGGCAGCAGGAGCUCAGCGUGCAAGCACUUCCACCUGCCGGACACCAGGCCACAAGGAGGCUCUGCAUGAUGAUGCAAGGAGCGGAGGCUCUUAAGGAGAAAACAUCUUCGUUGAUACCUGUCCUUUGAAUUCGCUUCUAUCCAGUUAAAUGGCGUUUGAUAAAUAGAUGUUUCUUAAUUUAAGUUGAGGCUUUCUGUUGGUUUUUAAAUGUGUGGCUUUGUGAUACUUCCUCUCGAGGAGAAUGAGACCCUGCAAGGGCAACUUACCUGUGCCAGGUCACGGAGCCAAUCAGGUCAAGGCCACAGCUCGAACGCAGGCAUUGAAACAAUGAUGACUUCUGUUGUCCUACCCAUUAAUCACUCUAACCUGGGAGUUUAAGCAAAUGC